CAAACAAUCGGGGCAAAUACACUUGUCUCUUUGUACCCGCUGAAACCCGCAUUGCCUGGAAGAUCGUCUAGAUUAAGAAUUUCUAUUGGCCGUAGCUGCACGUAUUUUAGGGUGACUACAGCUGCAUGCGAUAGAAAAAGAAAGUUUCACUCUCUCACAAGGAAGUCUAGAGGUAAGAUGGCAGUUCCUGGAUUUACCGUUGGUGCCUUCAUACUUCUGUUGCACCUUAGUUCUGUGGUUAAUUAUCCCAGUGGAAAAGUGACGAAGUCAUGCCAUGGGAUGGUUCCUGAACACGGUCACUCUCCGCAGUCUGAUCCUGUUCACCACAUUUCAGUGAGUCAGACGACAUUCCUGCCAGGAGAUCAGAUCAAAGUUACUUUGUCAGGGAAGCCAUUUAAAGGCUUUCUCGUAGAAGCACGUGAUGCUGAGAAUUUGAGUGGCCCUCCUAUUGGCUCCUUCACAUUAAUUGACAGCGAAGUGUCACAGCUUCUGACCUGUGAAGACAUACGGGGAUCAGCUGUGAGUCACACGAGUCCAUCCAAAAAAACAGAAGUCAAAGUCUAUUGGAAUGCUCCAAGCAGUACCCCAAAUCACAUAAAGUUUCUAGUCACGGUCGUUGAGAAGUACAAGAUCUACUGGGUGAAGAUUCCUGGUCCUGUGAUUUCACGACCAAAUGUACCUCCUUUUACAACACCUGAAGCUACAGUAGCACCCAUGCCAACAUUGUCUCCAAUCUCCCAUUUAACCAAAUCAUUCAAUGCUUCAGACUGUGGGAACAAGAAGUUCUGUGUUAGGAGUCCUUUGAACUGUGACCCAGCGAAGGAGCUUGCCUGCGUCUUCUUGUCCUUCACACGCCAUGACCAGUCAGUGAUGGUUGAAAUGAGCGGCCCCAGUGAAGGCUAUUUAUCCUUCGCGCUGUCUCAUGACCGUUGGAUGGGUGAUGAUGAUGCUUAUAUGUGUAUUCGUGAAGACCAGAUUGUGCACAUACAACCUUCCCGUUUGACAGGGCGAAGUCACCCUAUAAUGGACUCUAAGGAUUCUCUUGAGGAUAUGGCUUGGAGGUUGGCAGAUGGUGUCAUGCAGUGUUCUUUCAGAAGAAACAUUACCCUUCCUGGGGUGAAGAAUAGAUUCGAUCUAAACGCUAGCUACUACAUAUUUCUAGCAGGUGGUGCAGCUGAUGAUGGUCGAAUUCAUAAGCAUUCUAAACAACCUUUGAUUACAUAUGGAAAAUACAAUGUGACAGGCUCUCCCAAGAACAUAGGAGGAUCUCAUUCUUUACUCAUACUGAAGGUUCAUGGUGCCUUAAUGUUUGUGGCAUGGAUGACUACCGUUAGCAUUGGUGUACUGAUCGCCCGGUUCUUCAAACCUGUUUGGCCAAAGCCUUUAUUUGGUGAUGCAGCAUGGUUUCAGGUGCAUCGAGGGCUCAUGCUCACUACUUCUGCCUUCACCUUCAUUGCUUUUCUUCUGCCUUUUAUUUACAGAAGAGGCUGGAAUUGGCAUGCAGGUUAUCACCCGUUCCUUGGUUGUACCGUGAUGAUUCUAGCAGUUCUUCAGCUUCUUUUGGCGGCCUUCAGACCACCCUCUCAUGACCCAAGGAGGCAAAUGUUUAACUGGACUCAUUGGAGUGUGGGAACAGCUGCUAGAAUAAUAGCAGUGGCAGCAAUAUUCCUAGGAAUGGAUUUACCAGGACUGGAUCUUCCUGGCCCGUGGAAAACCUAUGCAAUGAUUGGAUUUGUAGCCUGGCAUGUUGGGACAGAGAUUGUUCUGGAGAUACAUGCUUACCGACUCUCCCGAAAAGUUGAAAUAUUGGAUGAUGAUAGGAUUCAGAUCCUCCAGUCGUGUACUGUAGCUGAAGCAGAAGGUCAUGCUUUUAAAAAGAUGGUGUUAGCAAUUUAUGUCUGUGGGAAUUUGACUUUUCUCACUAUGUUCUUAUCUGCAAUCAACCAUCUAUGAGCAAGUGAAGACCUUGGCUUUUGCAGACCAGUAGAGCCAGUGGAUUGGUGUGUGGAUGGUCCAGUCCUCAACAGCCCUGACCUACAGGCUCCAGCUUUGCACUUAGAACCUGUUCUGCCCAUCUGGCAGCCAAUUCUGCAGCAGCUCCAGCUUCACUCCUAGGCAAAAGAUCAGCUCCAGCCUCUCACAAGUUCUGGCCAUGCUGGGCCACGUCUACAUUCAAGCCCUGAUCCAUACCUCAUGCCAGGAGGACAGUCUCGAUUGCUGGGAGAUGCUGGCUGGUGAAACCUGAGGAGAGGACAGUACUUCCACAGCAAGAGGGGCGCUGAAGGCAGAAGGCAAGGUUUAAUGGUUUUUACCCUUGGAUUUUGGGACCUCUGUUUUGCCAUACUGAAAAUGAGAGCAGGGACAAAAUCUCCUCCCUAGAAUAGCCCUCAGUUUAGCUUCCGUAAAUCAGGCAUGCCCAUUGUGCUGUGGACGUUCAAUGCAGUUCUUAACGUACACCCUGGACGCCUGCGUUCUCAGGAGUGGGAUAGUCCAGUAAUGCACCGUCUCGUUGUUUUAAGGGGGGAAAAGAUUUCCAGAUUGCUAGGGUCUGCUGUUCCCUUCUUUAGACCUAUGGUAAGCAGAGGGUGUGAGUUCCGAGUAGAUGUGUGGGGACGGAGCUUUUGGCAAUGGAGGGCCCCUGGGGUAGCAGCUAAAACCCCUGAGUCGUCAGUUCUCCUUGUACCGCCUCCUUUCUGCUCUUCUCUGAUCUCUACGUCCUCUCCCCAGAGCAUCGCAGACGUGUUGUUUUGGCUGGUCUAAUUCGGUGGGAGAGAGCUUGCCUCCUUCCUCUCAGUAUCCCCUGGCUCCUGAUGGUCGCCACAGGUUGGCAGUUUGACUUUGAUAGCUUGUGAAUCCCCCGAGCUGACGUUCCCUAUGUCAUCCUGAAAAGCCACUUGAUCUGUAAGGGGGAAAACAGGCUAGAAGAAGUACCAGAGUGGACUGGUGAGGAUGACAAAGGGAACCACCUGUCUCUCUGGCGGGGAUGCUAGCGGAGCCCCAGUAAAGCUUACAGGGGCCUCUCAUUGGCAGGCGUGUCUGGUAUUGAACCAGAUCCUUAGAACACACUCUGUUGUAUUUGCAUUAGCAAAUGGACAUAACUUUGCCUAGAUUUUCUUGUCAUUUCCUGUUCAAAGUUUUGACUAAAAAAAAAAAAUCUGGUCUUUAGGACCUAACCCUAACCUUUUUUCUAGCUUUCUUUCUCCUUCAUGCUCGCUUCCAAGUUAAAAGCUGCUCUCGGAUGACAUUUACAUUAAAAAGGACUAAAAAUUCUUAACUAUUACACCUGUCAGGAAUAUUUAUAUUUAGUAGGGACCUAUAGCAUACAUGAGGAAAUUGACUAAAAUGGUGGAUUUUCAAGCAUCAAUAUGCAUUUUUUUUUUUUUUUUUUAGGGGGCUGGUUAGAGGGAGAAGCUCAACCUACUUGGUACUUGUGAAAUUGAAAUGCCUCCGUGGCUAUAUAUUCUAUUUAUAUGGUUGUUCCCUGAGGGCAUAUGUCAGUGUGAUAUAUUUAUUUUUUAACACUCAUUAAUUAAAAAAUACCAGCUCUGUAAUCCGUAUGCUGAAUUGGAAAACAGGAGUGUAAAACAAUGUCAUGACAGAAGGCAAGGAAUUUGGAGCAUUCUGUUUGUAAGAUGCUUUGAUUGAUAUAGCACAAAACUUUGUAUUGUUACUUUGUCUGAAAAAGGUCUUCCUGUUUUCAUUAUUUUAGUUCAGUGGCAUGAUUAGUGUUGUCUGGAAACAUUAGUCACUUCCUAUCUUUUUCUCUGGGGUAGGUAUGUUGACAUGAGUAGAGGAGAAGGAAUAAGGGUGUUCGGGAGGAGCUGGCUGCUCCCAAAAAUGGGGGUCUGAUGCUGGGUGAGGUCACUGCGCCCGACCAUAAACUGCAGGCCCUCUUGUCUAAGCCUCCCGUGUUGUUGUUGGAGAAUAACUUUAGGAUGCAAGGUUUGAUCGGCAAACAAAGUUCAUCCUCAAACAGAAAGGGAGCUUUAGUUUCAGCGGGUUUGCACUCUGGGGACACCCCACUCCGCUCUGAUUUAGGACGAUCAUACUGGUAGACUCUUACCAAGAAGUUAGAAAUUCUUCAGAUAAUUACAUUUACAACUGGGAGGCAGCUGUGCUCACCACUAGACCCCCCCAACACUUACAUUUACAGCUGGUAUGCCGAAAUGAACUACGUAAAAAAUGGAAGCGGUCCAUUUGUUGUGUUUUAUUUUUUGGCAACCUACAACUGGGUUUCUGAGUUGCAACGGAAGAAUCGUUCCUGAAUUGUCCAGGUGCCACCACAGAAGUGCAGAAUUAUCAAGUUCUUUGAUUGCUGGAUUAGCUGGGAGUUAAUAGUUAUUGCUUUAUCGGGGGGCCUUUUUGACUUUUAGGGCCACACCUGGGGGAUAUGGAGGUUCCUAGGCUAGGGGUUGAAUCUGAGUUGCAGCCGCCGGCCUGUGCCACAGCCACAGCAAUGCGGGAUCUGAGCUGCGUCUGCAACCUACACCACAGCUCACGGCAGUGCUGGAUCUUUAAGCCACUGAGCAAGGCCAGGGAUCAAACCCACGUCCUCAUGGAUGCUAGUCGGGUUGCUAACCUCUGAGCCGUGACGGGAACUCCAGUUAUUGCUUUUUAAUGAGAAUUCUUCCAUUAGAACAUUUAAAAUUACUGUUCCUUUCACAUGUCCAAUACUUAUGCCUGGGUAAUUCGAUUCAUGUCUUUAGCCAUGGUAAGUACAGCUAUUAUAAUUAAUGUAAUCAUAUUCUUAAUUAUUGUUUAUAGAUAAAUAGAAUACAAUAUUCAAAUGGCAACAAGGAGUCUAAAAUUGAUGAGCUAUCACUUUUGUAGAAAAAACUAUUUCCUCUUCAAUGCUAAAAAAGCAAGAUUGCUAUAAAAUUUUACAGAGAAUGAGAAUAUAUGGAAUGCACCUAUUUAGAAAAUAAAAAAAGUUUCUAAGUUAGGGAGGACUGUAUGAAGUUAAAUGUCAUUGCUGAUGUAAGAUAAAAUGAUGUUCUAUUUUAAAAUGUAGAAAAAAUAAGGAAAUAAAUUUAAUAGAAUUAUAAAAUUAUAGGGAAAGAAGAUAUGCAAAGUAAUAAAAUAUCACACUGAAAAUUUGUUUCUUCUUUGUUCUUGCAAAAUUAAGGCAAUUUGUUAAGCUAUGGAGGAAGUUUAAAUCAUAGGCACGAAAAAGAGCUGGCAUCAGAUUCUCAUGGGAAAAGAUCUGAUAUUAAUGAUCCAACAUGCUAGGGAUUCAAAUACAUUGACAUACGGUACCAUACCAUGACAGAAGGUGAAUUUCAAGUUACCAAGGUCAAUCAAUGCCAUAUCCAAAUAAGGCAACAAGUUUUUUUUUCACUUUCUUUAUCUUUGAAGUGACUUAAUCACUUUGCUUAUGGUGAUUAUAAUUCAUAUCAGCAUUAAUUAAAAAAAACCUGUUAGCAUGUAUUAGUCUGUGAGGUGGUCAAAAAGAGCUGAAAGCAAGAGGGUUUGGCAACAACACAAAGAGAAGAUUGUCACAUGACUAAACAGCAUGGCAAGCCUUGUCACUCUUGUUACCUGUUAAGGACGGAUCCUCAGUCCCAUCUCCUGCAAUCUGAAUGUCAAGCGGAGACUGGUGAUGGGGCUGCCUAAGCUUUCUUCUUGUUCUUUCAGGGAUAUGGAAUUUUUGUGGGGAGACUUGUGGUUUGUGUUUUCAUGGGGGUUAACCUCUGCUCUCUUUCUCGGAAGCGGCGUCGGUUUGGCAGGCUGGAAAACCUGGCUGUGGGGAGCUAUGGGAUGGUACGAUGGUUUCUCAGCUUCUCCUUCACCCUCCUCCUCCUCGUCGUCAAUCACAACCAGCUCAGCACGGAUGAUCCCGUCAUACCCUGUUAGAAGCUUCUUUUCUUCCUCACUAUCGUCUGCCCGCUGAUACCCCAUGAAAAUCAUCGUCACAGGUUCGGUAUCCUCCACGUCAGAAGGCAGGGAAUGAACAAUAUUGUAUCUGACGUCUUCCUCAUCCUCCUGGCAGGUUGGUGAAGAACCCUGGCGUUCUGACUUCCCAACUGGUGCUUCUCCAGGACUCAGUUGUGACUUUGCAGAGGGAGCACACUUGUCCUGUGUCACAUCUGAUUCUUCCCAAGGAGUCAUCUGCCUCUUUUGUGGGCUGUGGGGCCUCUCCUCUGCUUGUUGAGUCAUUGAUCGGGGGUGGGGUAUGGGCCGAAUGGGACUGAUGUGAUUGACGCUGCUGCCCCUCUCCUCUGAAAGCCCAUUGUUCAUAGUGUGUAUGGAUCCAUUCAUAUCCUUACCCAGUCCACGAGCUUUCAUCUUUAUCCUUUCUUGAAAGUUUGGUCCAGGAGUUGCCUUCUCUCUCUGUGGAGUUGUAGGUCUGCAGAAUGGAUUGGCAUAUACAGGAUCAUGAUACUCUGUCGGGGAUUUAGAAUUUCUCUCCGAAGCUUGUCUUAAAAGAUCUUCUACUUCAACUGGUGCCAGGCCGUCGGUGCCGUUGUAUGCUGCACUGUGAUUAGAGCUCACUGCGUAUACUGACUUUUGCCCAUCAUCAUAAACUUUUAUCCCUGUACCUUUAAAGUCAUCUGAUGGAAGAGGUAUUGAAGA